UUGCUAAGCAUCAAUCGAUAUUAUCCUCGAUUUUAAUCCCGGUAUUAACUUUAGUGCGCCGAUUUUGCCACACUAAAGAAAAUCCGACAUUAACCAAAAUGUGGCUACGUGCUUGAUUUUGAUUACACGCACACUAGUGUAGCUAUGAAAAUAAACGUCAAAGGAAAAAAGAAAAACAAAACAGAGGAUGUUGAUAUUACUUACGUGAGUGAUUUCUGCUGUUUCCUUUGUUUUCUGCCAAUAGUUUGCAGUCUCAGGUUUGCAGUUAAAAGGUAACCAAAGUCAAGAUGAUCACCCGCUCCGGGAGCUUGGACUGGCAUCGUCAUCUGGACACUGGCUGUCAAGUUGGUUUGUUAACGAAAGGGUCUUCUUCGCUCGGCAAAGUAUGCCAAAAAGACCCGCAGACGGACCGGAAGGACCACGAAAUCGAGAAGGUCAGCAACAUUUACGAGGUUCGAAAGGUGCCGCAGUUGUUCCGACCGCACCAGCUCAAUAACACCACAUUCAUCAAGUUAUAUGAUGUCACCAAGCACAGGUUGCGCAUUGCCGAGCCGUACAUCACCUACGGAUAUACGACGCUGAAAUCGGUCCACCACCUGAUAUACAAGCGCAGAUUCGUCAAGUAUCGAAAAAAAGCCACAUUUCGAUCACCGACAAGUUUGUGUUUUAGCGUAAGUUGCUCAACGGCUACAAGGACCGGCGUCGUGAAUCUGGUGUAUCAAAUCUGCACUUCCGGACUCCCAUUUUGCAAGGAAAACGAUUUCCUGUGGUCGUUGAAGUUCAAUACCCCAAGCGUGGAUGGUUCCAAAAGGUAGGAACGAUCAAAUAACAUUAAAAUCAAUUUUCAAUAAAUAUGAAAUUUGCAUGUACAAAGAGAUACGAUCAAUAAAUUGCUCAGAAUCCA